UCUCUCUCUCUCUCUCUCAAAAAUGAAUAAAACUUACAUUAAAAAAACUGACAAAUCAAAAAAUCCAAUAUAUUUUAUGUAUAAAUAUGUACAUAUGGGGGCUUUAUUCCUUGCCUAAAGAGUAUCCAUUCUUUCUCCUUCCUAACUGGGCAUCUAUUUUGUUCUGUGUUCAUACUUUCCUUUAUUUAACCCAUAUGCACCAUGAGAAGAUGACAUGAUCCCCCAACACUAUCAGGUGACAAGACUUAGGACAUCUUCAUUUUUUGCUACCAGUGAUCAGGUUAGAAUGGGCAUAUGUUAAAAUUCAGGUCAAUGGGAAGGCUUCAGGGAAGGUUUCCUGGGAGUGACAUGAGGGAGUGACAUAACCUGAAUUAUCACUGCCAUCUUGCUACAUGGAAAGGAAAGACAAGAAGACAAUGGGAAAUGGAUCAUGGCUCGCACCCUUUGGAAGUCUGUCAUACCUCAGAUGAUCAUUUGUUUCUCAUAUAGACAUCCUGAUGGCAACUCUGGUUUAUAACAAAAGAAAAAUAAGAAUACCAAAAAACAUUUGCAUUUGCUGUAAGAUCCGUAUAAUCUGAUGCUGCUAAAAGAACUGCUGUUCAUCCUCCCAAAGAAGAGCUAAUGCUGGGUGUGGAGGAGGACUGGAGGACGUGAAGGAGCUUCUGAAAUAACAGUGGAAGAUGUGCAAGGAGUAGAGUCUUCGAAGUGGGGAAAAGCAGGCAAUAUAAAUAACAAGACAUCCUUAAUGAUGGAAAUACCUUUCAGCCUAUCACUGGAUAGUACUCUUCUAGAUGACUUUUAAACCCCUACAGUGAGAGGAGUUGGAUUCCUUUUUUGGGAUUGGAGUCAAAAAAGGAAAACCUCAGCUUCUGAGCAUGGUGGCUUGUAACGGGAUAAAGAGACAAGUUUCUUUUCAGCCAAGGAUCUAUAAUCAAAUAUCCUUUGUCAAAUAAGCAAAUGUUCCAAAUUAGCAUUAGCUAGCAUUGUUUAGGAUCUCUGAAAAUAGACUUCUGUGUGUUUAACAUUUAUAUCUAAGGCAAUGUUUAAAAUACAGUUACUUUGUAAUGAAGUAUAAUUUGUAAACAUUUUUUUAAUUUUUAUUGAUUUUGUGUUUAUGUGCAUUACAAUGUAUGAUCCUGUAACAACACUUUAAUAAAUGUUCUAUGUAUGCACCUAUGUAAUAGCCACACCUAUAAAGAUAUAAAACAUU